UACGUAGGGGGCAAGCGUUGUCCGGAAUUAUUGGGCGUAAAGCGCGCGCAGGCGGUUCUUUAAGUCUGGUGUUUAAACCCGAGGCUCAACUUCGGGUCGCACUGGAAACUGGGGGGACUUGAGUGCAGAAGAGGAGAGUGGAAUUCCACGUGUAGCGGUGAAAUGCGUAGAUAUGUGGAGGAACACCAGUGGCGAAGGCGACUCUCUGGGCUGUAACUGACGCUGAGGCGCGAAAGCGUGGGGAGCAAACAGG
rnacentral:rRNA from 1 species